UUCAGACUAUAGCGAUGGAAACGUUGUUAUCCAAUCCAUAGCUGUUGGUUACGACAGAGUAGCGAUUCAGAUGAUUGAAACGAGUCUGAAACAAGAUGCGGCAUCUCGUUCGAUUUAAAUUGGAAUUAUAUACGGUACCCAUGAUACGAAAGACAAGACAAGGGGUAAUAUUUCAGGUAAUUGCUGUAAGUGAAUAGAAGUUAUUUGCAAUUCAUCGCUAAAAGCGGACACCUAAUCGAUUUCGAAGCUGUUCGAUUCAAUUGUUGACGAAUGCUGAAUGAAGAGGAGGCGUCGUCGGCUCAUGGUGUUCCAGGGAGAUUUGUACCUACGUAUGCUUUUACUACGGAGGAAGGAGAAAAAAUGGACCAGGAAAGCGAAAUAAAUCACUCGUAAGUAUGUUUGGAAAUUUUCUCGAAUGCCUAUAGGUACUUUGAUGAAAUGUCACUAUCCGGAUUAAGUAUAAGUCGUUGCAUUUGUAGUGUAGGUACGAAUGCAAGUAAG